rnacentral:lncRNA from 1 species
AAAGAAUUGGACCCCGGCGGAAAUUGCAAGUGAACCCAUUGGAAUAAGGUUGUGGGAGAUGGUGGAGUAUGACAUCACUUGAUGAUGUCAUGGUGGGCCAUUUGUUGGAUUAAAGAAAAGGAAAAAGAAAAGAAAAGAGCCCCCCUUCUUCUCUCUCCUCCCUCUCUUCUUCCUCUCUCUUCCGUGCGAUUCCUCCAUCUUCUUCAUCUUCCUUCUUCGGCUGCUCGGUUCCGUGGAGACCGAAGACCAGAGGAAGCGGCAGCCACCGUCGCACGCCCCCUUCCGCCGCUCGUCGCCGCCGUUUGUGCCGCCGUCCGCCGCUCGCCCUAACUGCUCGCAUCUCCAUCUUCUCCUUGCAUCUUCGAACCCAGCAACCGGAAGAAGACCUCAGCAGCUGCAGGAGAUCCGCCGAAGCCGUUGUAGCCUCCGUGCGUCGCCGUCGCCGCCAUCGCACCGGAUCGCCGUUGGCCGACCCCUCUCCUUUCCCCUUCCUCUCUUCCGCCGACUCUCUCUCCUGCUCCUUUCCGUUCGACGCCCAGAAAUUUCAGAGCGCAGGAGCUACCGGAGCUCCCUCCGGCCACCGUGAGGCCUCGCCUGGCCACCGCCUAGCCCGUCCAAGCCCCGCCAGUCCUCCUCCGUCGUCCCUCCGCCCGAACCGGCGCCGGAUCUGCUCCCUCUCGGCCCCGAUCAGCAACCCAGAAAAUGGGUAUGGCAGCCCAUGUUUGGCCCGUUUUGGCCGCCUUCCCGAGUCCGGAUGCUCGGCCCGCUUUGAGGAAAGUUGUUCUCCUCGGCGUCCCCGUCGUUUUGGUCCGCUCGGCUCGCUAAUCCAAUGAGUUUAACUCACUAAACCUUGAUUAGACGGUUAAUGAUGCCCUAAGUGUGCUUAGCCUAAGUUAAGUAAGCUUAGGUAGUUAAAUUAGUUGAUUUGGUUGAUGAUUAGAUUAUGGUGUUUAAUUAAGUUAAAGUGUGUUUAGUUUAAAGUUAAGUAUGUUUAUUUUUAAUAUAAAGCUUUGAUGUGACAUAAUAG